AUCGAGGUGGCAGACCCCGGAUAUUGCAAAAGACCUAAGCCCUUUGUAAGAAGGUUCAAGUCCUUCCCUCGAUU
rnacentral:tRNA from 1 species